UUCGUUGAAAUCCAUUUGAGAGAAGAAAAACAAAGUACCAUUAGCAUUAAAACUGAGUGGGGGGAAGAA